GACGAACGCUGGCGGCGUGCUUAACACAUGCAAGUCGAACGGUAAGGCCCUUCGGGGUACACGAGUGGCGAACGGGUGAGUAACACGUGGGUGAUCUGCCCUGCACUUCGGGAUAAGCCUGGGAAACUGGGUCUAAUACCGGAUAGGACCCUGGGAUGCAUGUCCUGGGGUGGAAAGCUUUUGCGGUGUGGGAUGGGCCCGCGGCCUAUCAGCUUGUUGGUGGGGUGAUGGCCUACCAAGGCGACGACGGGUAGCCGGCCUGAGAGGGUGACCGGCCACACUGUGACUGAGAUACGGACCAGACUCCUACGGGAGGCAGCAGUGGGGAAUAUUGCACAAUGGGCGCAAGCCUGAUGCAGCGACGCCGCGUGAGGUAUGACGGCCUUCGGGUUGUAAACCUCUUUCAGCACCGACGAAGCGCAAGUGACGGUAGGUGCAGAAGAAGGACCGGCCAACUACGUGCCAGCCGCCGCGGUAA
rnacentral:rRNA from 1 species